CCUACGGGAGGCAGCAGUGGGGAAUUUUGGACAAUGGGGGCAACCCUGAUCCAGCAAUGCCGCGUGAGUGAAGAAGGCCCUCGGGUUGUAAAGCUCUUUUGUCAGGGAAGAAACGGUGGUUCCUAAUACGAGCUGCUAAUGACGGUACCUGAAGAAUAAGCACCGGCUAACUACGUGCCAGCAGCCGCGGUAAUACGUAGGGUGCAAGCGUUAAUCGGAAUUACUGGGCGUAAAGCGUGCGCAGGCGGUUUUAUAAGACAGAGGUGAAAUCCCCGGGCUCAACCUGGGAACUGCCUUUGUGACUGUAAGGCUAGAGUGUGUCAGAGGGGGGUAGAAUUCCACGUGUAGCAGUGAAAUGCGUAGAUAUGUGGAGGAAUACCGAUGGCGAAGGCAGCCCCCUGGGAUAACACUGACGCUCAUGCACGAAAGCGUGGGGAGCAAACAGGAUUAGAUACCCUGGUAGUCCACGCCCUAAACGAUGUCUACUAGUUGUCGGGACUUAAUUGUCUUGGUAACGCAGCUAACGCGUGAAGUAGACCGCCUGGGGAGUACGGUCGCAAGNUUAAAACUCAAAGGAAUUGACGG
rnacentral:rRNA from 1 species